UACAGAGGGUGCAAGCGUUAAUCGGAAUGACUGGGCGUAAAGAGCGCGUAGGUGGUUACAUAAGUCAGAUGUGAAAUACCUGGGCUUAACCUGGGGAUGUCAUUUGAUACUGUGUGGCUAGAGUAUGGGAGAGGAAGGUGGAAUUUCCGGUGUAGCGGUGAAAUGCGUAGAUAUCGGAAGGAACAUCGGUGGCGAAGGCGGCCUUCUGGCCUAAUACUGACACUGAGGCGCGAAAGCGUGGGGAGCAAACAGG
rnacentral:rRNA from 1 species